GGGUUGCUGAGCUCCCGGCCCCAACCUGGCACGCUCGGGGCGGCUUUAAGAGGCUCACAACUCCCCGAAUGCAGUGUCCAUAAGGCGGCCUCCCGGCUCGGUGGAGGGCGCAGGGCUUGGAUGACAGCGUCGACUAGAUUUCAACCACCACCGUCCCCUUGGAAGGAUGCCAUCGGGCGGGACACAACCUGCACAACUGUACACGGCAGGGCUCAUGGAGGCACACAGGCCAAGAUCAGCUCUGGUGAGAAUGUGGGAGUUGCGGGGACUUGGGGGGCAGGGAGAGGCCGGGGGCAUCUCGGGAAGGCCUUGGAGACAUGCAGUCUGGUUCACCACAGUGGUCACAUGCGCCUGGCAAGGCUGCAGAUCGACAGACACCCCUGCACCCGGGGGUGGGGUCCACACCCUCAUACCCAUGGGGCCACCACAGCUCAGGAACCUGUGGUCUUCACCUUGAGCUGGGACUGGACACCGUGUUGGAGACCGAAGACAGGAGAGAGCCCUGCCUUCUCCUGAAAGGGGGAAUGGGCAACCACCCAGAACAGGCGUGGGGACAAUCACGUUCCUCCCAAAGCCAACGACAGAGUCACCCUAGGAGCCAGCAACCCCACUCCUCGGCGUCCACCUGAAGGAACUGAAAACAAGCGUUCCAACAAAACCCUGCACACCCACACUCGUGGCACGUUACUCGCAACUGCCAAAAGAUGGAAACCACCCAGUGUUCAUCAACGGAGGCACAGGUGACCCAGACGUAGCGUCCCUGCAAUGGAAUGCGAGUCCUCCAUAAAAACGAUGAACUUUGAGGACAUUAUGCUGAGUGAGAGACAAGAACAAAGUCACAAGAGGAUAAGUACUGUGUGAUGCGGUUUCCAUGAGAUGUUCUUAAUGGAAAUCCAUACAGCUAGACAGAGGCUGGUCGUGCAACGUUGCGAGUGCAUGAAAUGCCACCGACUUGUGUGCACUUCAAAACGGCUAAUUUUAUGUUGCGCAUCUCAAUUAAAAAAAUGAUCAGGAAAGCAAAUGAGCAACGA